rnacentral:rRNA from 1 species
AGUGAACGCUGGCGGUAGGCCUAACACAUGCAAGUCGAACGGCAGCACAGUAAGAGCUUGCUCUUACGGGUGGCGAGUGGCGGACGGGUGAGGAAUACAUCGGAAUCUACUUUUUCGUGGGGGAUAACGUAGGGAAACUUACGCUAAUACCGCAUACGACCUACGGGUGGAAGCAGGGGAUCUUCGGACCUUGCGCGAUUGAAUGAGCCGAUGUCGGAUUAGCUAGUUGGCGGGGUAAAGGCCCACCAAGGCGACGAUCCGUAGCUGGUCUGAGAGGAUGAUCAGCCACACUGGAACUGAGACACGGUCCAGACUCCUACGGGAGGCAGCAGUGGGGAAUAUUGGACAAUGGGCGCAAGCCUGAUCCAGCCAUACCGCGUGGGUGAAGGAGGCCUUCGGGUUGUAAAGCCCUUUUGUUGGGAAAGAAAAGCAGCAGGUUAAUACCCCGCUGUUCUGACGGUACCCAAAGAAUAAGCACCGGCUAACUUCGUG